CCUACGGGAGGCAGCAGUGAGGAAUAUUGGUCAAUGGGCGGGAGCCUGAACCAGCCAAGUCGCGUGAGGGAAGACGGUCCUAUGGAUUGUAAACCUCUUUAGGCGGGGAGCAAUGCCGGGCACGCGUGCCCGGAGGGAGAGUACCCGCAGAAUAAGCAUCGGCUAACUCCGUGCCAGCGGCCGCGGUAAUACGGAGGAUGCGAGCGUUAUCCGGAUUGAUUGGGUUUAAGGGGUGCGUAGGCGGAUUUUUAAGUCAGCGGUAAAAUGUCGGGGCUCAACCCGGGCCGGCCGUUGAAACUGGGGAUCUUGAGUGGGCGAGAAGUAGGCGGAAUGCGUGGUGUAGCGGUGAAAGGCAUAGAUAUCACGCAGAACCCCGAUUGCGAAGGCAGCCUUCCGGCGCCCUACUGACGCUGAGGCACGAAAGUGCGGGGAUCGAACAGGAUUAGAUACCCGUGUAGUC
rnacentral:rRNA from 1 species